rnacentral:rRNA from 1 species
AAUUUCUGGCUUGGCAAUUUUGGCCCGGUACGGUAACGUACUGUUUGUGCUGACUGUUGCCGGUCAUCCUUCUGGGUUUAACAGGCCUUGCCCUUCACGGGGUGGAGGUCUGCGAACCAGAUCUUUUACUUUGAAAAAAUUAGAGUGUUUAAAGCAGGCGUUUGCUAUGAAUACAUUAGCAUGGAAUAAUAAUUUAGGACUUCGGUUCUAUUUUGUUGGUUUCUAGGACUGAAGUAAUGAUUGAUAGGGACAGUUGGGGGUGCUAGUAUUCAGCGGCCAGAGGUGAAAUUCUCGGAUUCGCUGAAGACUAACUUAUGCGAAAGCAUU